rnacentral:lncRNA from 1 species
CCAAAAGUCUGUCUACACAGACAACUCCUAAGACUGCUUUGAUUUGGAGUGGCCUUUCUCACCCCUUUCCUGUGGCCUGUUGCUUUAGGUGUGCAUCACCUUGGAUUUGCUAUGCAACCAUGUGGUGUAAUUUAAGUACAAUUUCUGCAGGCUCAGAACCAUCAGUUUUACUCCCUUAAUCUGGUUGGAACAUUGGCACUGGUCAGUCCGUAGAAAAGUGAAGUAACCUUCCUACUUCUCACAGUUGGUGACUGGCCUAGCUGGGUCUUAGUCUUAGGUCUUUGCCCUCCAAGUGAGUACUCUAGGCCUUCCCACUAGCGGGGUAGGGAGGGAGG